UCGACCCUCCUGUUUUCCUUCCUAAGCGCCAGCUUCUCCCAGACCUGCCCCUUCAUGUGUCCAUUUUCUGUACCAGGCAUUUGAAAAUAAUUCUGCAGCUGAGUUGUCAACCGGUGAUCUGGUCCAAACCUCCCAUUUUGCAGCCAGAGAGGCUGGUGCCAGGAGGGACUGUGACUGGCCCAAGGCAUCAGGGAGAAAAUGGGAGCAGAGUCUGGCAGGCCUAGCUCCCCGCUCGCGGGCAGCAUCGUCCCCAAGUCGGGAAGGGGAGCGACCCACCCCGGACUCAUAGUCACUGCACUUCUCAGGCCCUAGGUGUUCCAGAAGGGGGGGGGGGGUCUGCUUCCUAGGGGGUGACAGAUCUCCCCGGAGCGGUCACCAGCACCCCCUGGGAAACGGCAGGCCUUGGCUGGUCGCCCUUUCGCUCCAGGACAGCCUGUGACUGGGUCCCCACCUUCUGGCUCCUCUGCCACUCACCAGGUAGCAAAGAAGAGAGACUGAACAUCCAGGGACCGGGCCUGGGCUCCAGCUCAGCCUCUCAGUCCUUGUGUGACUGUGGACAUGACCUUUUCCCUCACUGGCCUCAGUUUCCCCGUCUUUGUAGCAGAAGGCUCGUUUUCACUAGGCAUCGUCUUGCCCUAAUAUUUUAUUGUGUUCUCAUCUCUUUUCACGGAAAGAAAGUUCUGGAACACCUGUUCAGCAAUGCAGUCUUCCCUCUCAACGGACCCUUCUCAACAUGACCACCUCCCCUUAACUUCCAGGCUCACUAGUUCCUGGCUGCAAAUGCCUUCGAUGCCACAAGCAAGAGGAGAGAUGCGGAGUGGGACCGUCCCCGUGACCUGGCACCCCCUCGUCAAAGUUGUGCCCCUUUGGGUGCCCAGGGUCCUGCCAGAGCUCAGCCAGAGGCUCAAAGGUGUCCCCUUUGCCUUGCUGAUCUCCUCACUUCUGGGCUGGAACAUGGAAAUGACUCACUUUACAGAUGAGGGAACUGAGGCACAGAAUGAGGAAGAGUCUUGCCUGAGUUACACAGACCUAGCUCCUACUGGCUCAGAGAGAGGGGGCUGUUAAAGGCUCAUGGAUUUUGCAAGCCCGAUUUCAUUGGCGCUUUGAACUCAGCUGCAAGUACAGCCGGUGGUGAAACAUUUACCAGCUCACCACUGACUGGAGGCCAGCCACAGCUUUUAGAGACAAUGUCUCUAGAAGGGUCCCUAGCUUAGAAAGUUGCGGAGAUUUGCAAGACCACACCCUCGUCUCCAGAUCUGUCACGGAUCUGAGGCUGACGCCAAAGCCAAAGAAAUUCCUUCCUUCUCUCUCGAUGCCAACAGCUAGCUUCUCUCUCUACUCCACCAUAAUAACAUCCCAUCCUGUGCAAGAAGACUGUCCCGGCUGUCCCUUGGGGCAGGGAUUAAAGGUACUACAGGGUUCAGAGCGCCUGGCCAGCUCGCCCUAACCUCUGGCACCGUGUGAUCAAUUCCAUAAAUAUUUACCAAGCUCCUCA